CAGCCGGGUCACGUAUCUUGACUGGGGGGGCGAGUCUCUUUAGACUCAUGCACCCCUAAAUAUGGCAGGGCUUCAGCCCUGCCAUUUAUUUAUGGUGUAAAUAAAUAGCGUCGAAAGACGGACAGUGGAGCUAGUAGA
rnacentral:sRNA from 1 species